GAGCCGAAGGCAGUCGCUUAACCAACUGAGCCACCCAGGCGCCCCGUCCUUUACCUUUCUGAGUUAAAAGAUUUUGAGGUAUUUCAAACUGUGACUCUUCUAGAAAUAAUAUCCAAAAUUCUAAAUAAAAAGAGUAACAGAAUAAUUAAUGUACUUCAUCGCAGAACAAAACCAGUGCAACUCCAAACAAGAAAAUUGAUGUACCACGUCUGACAAAUCUAAAGGUCAUGUGUCAACUUCAAGAAGCUCUGUACCAUGUGUCCUGUCCUAGUUACCUACUAAGAACUAAUUGUGUUUGCAAUCAUGUAAGAUGUUUCAACGUUUAUUGUUAUGUGAGUUUUAUAUUCAUUAAACUUAAAUUGUUUCUGACUGAAAAUAUUCUUCCAUUACGGUAACUUUUUAAGAAUUUUUCAACUUCAAAUACCACUUGGUAAGCAAACUCCAUACAAGGAACACUGAAAUAAAGGGGAAUAAGAUUACAAUACUCAAUAUAUGAAACAAUGAUGUAUGAGUCUUUUCUUUGAUAAUUUUCAUCUAAAUUCAGCUAUUAUUAUAAUUAUUAUAACACAUGUCUGCUGUUUUUAUCGUGGGGUUUAUAAUGACAAACUGGUUCUGAAUAUGUACAUAUGUGAUAAUCCUACUUUACAGUAUAUGUGGAGAGAAAUUCAGAAUUGCUAUUCCAUUUUACCUUCUUAUUUUCAAUGCCUUGAACGUAAUUCAGUGUAAUUACAGAAUCGUAACUUGUGUUGUCGUCUUAGAGUGAUUAAACGUGCAUUUAAAACUCUCCCUGAACAGGAAGUCUAAAGUGGAAUAAAUGAGGAAAUCUUGCCUUUUAAAAAUAUUUAUGUAACUCCAAACAAAAGGAGUGGACCUCUCCUCUAUCUCUUUCGUUAAAUGAACAAUGUGCCCGGGAAAGCCUCACGUCUGAGCACCGAAAGAGCACCCUCUCUCCGCGGUGUUCAGAAGGCAACAGGAAAUGAAAACCAAUGAGAAGUAAGCACGAACUUCUGGCAGGAAGAUUCUGUAUCCGGAUUCAAAACGGCAUGAGGGGCAAAGAUUGAAAGAAGAUAGUCACAGAGAACAUUUUUAGCUGAGCACAAUGCAUUAUUUUACAUUUCGACCAAGCUACACGGAAAGGACUAAACAUUACAAAUAAUACAUUUUGCUUAAAAGAGAUUCACUUUUUAAAAAAAUCGAACAGAUGUACUCCUGAAGGUUGGAUUGACAUUUGCUUUUUGUAGCUAUCAUCAUUUCCAACAUAGAGAAAUUGGCUAAUUAGAAGAAUCUCUCCAUAAAUACAGCAUUUGUAAGUUUAUUUUCUUCAGCCUAUUAGAGGAGAGCACCUAUGGGUAUCAUUGUGAUGUUUUAUAUUAAAUCUAUCCCUCAAUCUA